AAUAUUGGUCUAUGGACGGAAGUCUGAACCAGCCAUGCCGCGUGCAGGAUGACGGCCCUACGGGUUGUAAACUGCUUUUAUAUGGGAAGAAACCCCCCGACGUGUUGGGGGCUGACGGUACCAUAGGAAUAAGGACCGGCUAACUCCGUGCCAGCAGCCGCGGUAAUACGGAGGGUCCGAGCGUUAUCCGGAAUCAUUGGGUUUAAAGGGUGCGCAGGCGGUAAAGUAAGUCAGUGGUGAAAUCCCUUCGCUCAACGAAGGAACUGCCAUUGAUACUGCUAUACUUGAAUAUAGUCGAAGUGGGCGGAAUGUGACAUGUAGCGAUGAAAUGCUUAGAUAUGUCACAGAACACCGAUAGCGAAGGCAGCUCACUAGACUAACAUUGACGCUCAUGCACGAAAGCGUGGGGAGC
rnacentral:rRNA from 1 species